UGGUACCAGGAGUUGAACCCAGAGGCAUUUAACCACUGAGCCACAUCCCCAGACCUUUUUAAUUUGUAUUUCGAGGUAGGAUCUUGCUAAGUUGCCUAGGGCCUCACUAAGUUGCUGAGGCUGGCUUGGAACUCAUGAUCCUCCUGCCUCAGCCUCCCGAGCUGCUGGGAUGACAGGCGCACACCACCAUGCCCAGCUCCUGGCUGGCUCUUGAUCUCUGAUUUCAUGGCACAAAGCUUACACCUGCCAAGAUAAGGAAAACCCCAGGAGUAUAGUCCCAGCCAGGUACCUUCCAAGAAGCUGAGCCACCAUGUUCCCCUGGAAAAAAAGCAUAGUCUUCCUGGCCUUGUAUCCAGUGGCCUGGGAGCUGGGACUCCUUAGGAGAAGCCUCGUCCCUCAGCUCCUUCUCAGAGGCUAGACAGCAAUAAUAGUUCUGGGGCUGGCCACGCAAGCCAAACUCAUAAGACCCAUUUGACACAAAGAUGCAAUGUCAACCUUACGUCCAUGUGUGGUGGUGCCUGUGUGAAAUCCAGCUACUCAGGAGGAUCAGGCAGGAGGAUCUCAAGCUUGAGGCUCAGCAACCUAGCAAGACCCUGUCUCAAAAUAAAAAAUGAAAAAGACCGAGUAUAUGGCUCAGAAAUAGAGAACCUCAGGGUUUAGUCACCUGUCUUUAAAAAAAAAAAAAAAAAAUGUCAGGACAAGGCCCAAUUGAUGGCAAGAUGAUUCCUGCUAUAUAUACAUGGAGAUGGGCCAGCUGGGGUAGGCUGACUGCCAGGAGGCCAGCCAGUCAAUUAAUUACCACAUAUUUAUUGAUUGCUUCUCUGUAUGAGGCAUUAUGCAUGGAAGCCUGGCCUUAAUAUUCUGGAUGAGAAGUCAAAGGUGGUGGGAGGGAUGAAUGUCUUCAUUCUCCACCAUAUUGUAUAGUUUCAUAUACUUUCAUCCCUCUUCUGAUCCUCAACGUGGCAUUGUUAUUGGCAUUAUUUUUCAAAUUUAUGCAUGAGGGGCUGGUGAUAUAACCCUGUGGUAGAGCACUUACCCUGCAUGCACAGGGUCCUGGUUUCAGUCCCCAUCACUGCAAAAAUAAAAUAAAAUAAAAUUUAAAAAUUAAAAUUAGGCAUGAGGAGAGCUGGGGUUGUGGCUCAGUGGUAGAGUGCCUGUAGGCAUGAGGCCCUGGGUUCAAUCCCCAGCACCACAUUAAACAAACAAAACAAAACAACAACCCAAAAACAAAAUAACAAAAUUAUGCAUGAGGACACUGAGUAUAAAUAUAAUAAGAGUAGGUACCAUUUCUGUAGUACAUGCUUUGGUGUUAGACUCUCUGCCAGCCGGCUCAGUCAGACUUGGAGAGUCAGUGAUGUUUAUGUUUCUUGGUCCUGUGAGAUCACCAUUAUUAUCCCACUUUUCAUAUGAGGAAACUGAGGAACAAUGGUUGGUUGACUUGUCUGAGAUAAUCCAUCCAACUGCAUUCUUUUUUUUUUAAAGAGAGAGAGAGAGAGAGAGAGAGAAGAGAGAGAGAAUUUUUUAAUAUUUAUUUUUUAGUUUUCGGUGGACACAAC
rnacentral:lncRNA from 1 species